GUUGCUUUGGCCGAGUGGUUAAGGCGUGUGCCUGCUAAGUACAUGGGGGUUUCCCCACGAGAGUUCGAAUCUCUCAAGCAACG
rnacentral:tRNA from 1 species